CCUACGGGAGGCAGCAGUGGGGAAUAUUGCACAAUGGGGGAAACCCUGAUGCAGCGACGCCGCGUGAGCGAUGAAGUAUUUCGGUAUGUAAAGCUCUAUCAGCAGGGAAGAAAAUGACGGUACCUGACUAAGAAGCACCGGCUAACUACGUGCCAGCAGCCGCGGUAAUACGUAGGGGGCAAGCGUUAUCCGGAUUUACUGGGUGAAAAGGGAGCGUAGACGGUCCUGCAAGCCAGAUGUGAAAGCCCGGGGCGCAAACCCGGGACUGCAUUUGGAACUGUAAGGCUAGAGUGUCGGAGAGGCAGGCGGAAGUCCUAGUGUAGCGGUGAAAGGCGUAGAUAUUAGGAGGAACACCAGUGGCGAAGGCGGCCUGCUGGACGAUGACUGACGUUGAGGCUCGAAAGCGUGGGGAGCAAACAGGAUUAGAUACCCGAGUAGUC
rnacentral:rRNA from 1 species